rnacentral:pre_miRNA from 1 species
AGUGGGAUAGCUAGGUCAAAUGGUAGUCCCAUUCCCAAUUUUUCUGAGGAAUCUUCAUACUGCUUUCCAUAGUGGUUGCACCCAUUUUCAGUCCCACCAGCAAU